ACUAUUUAUUUAAGUAAACUUCUUACAACAUAUCUACAUGGAAUAUGGGGUCUAGAAUCCCAAAAAUCAUUGGACGUAAUAUUUGAACAACACCUACGGGGCUAUUUCAUGAAAAUUGUUCACUUUCAAUAGUUGUAUUACUUUAAAGUUAUGUAAGCCUUAAGGCAGUUAAAAAAUAUAUCUGUUCAUUUUUCCCGGGAGUUUCAAAUCAACAAAAUCCCGGGAGCCACUCGCAAAACCCAAGGCACAAAAGAAAAUGUCAAAAACCUUCUCAGCUCAUCCACACAAACGUCAAACGGGUGUUUUCCUGCAACAGUUCUUAUUGCGUCGCGUUUUUUGAAAAAAAAAAAAAUGCAUCCGUAUCUCCGCGCCCUAAAACCUUCGCAAUUUCGGUUCCCCGCAAUGGCCACCCCGGAACGCCGGCACUGUAUGUAACGCAGGAUCUCAAGUUUAAGCUGAAAAACACGGUUCCGGAGUUUGCCGGCGAUGGGACCGUCCGGUACGGGUGCUACUUGCUGGCGGCGGCCAGCGUGGUCGGAUAUGUGUUUAUGGAGACGACCGCCGGGCAAGGUGAUCGAUGAGGUUGUUCCGCUGUGGAUAGUUCCGGUGCCGAGGGAGCCGUUCAAGCUAGCGAUGUACUGUGACCAUGGGCUGCUAACGGUGGAUGUUGAUGUGGGUGUAUCAAUUUGUGAUAUUUACUCGGUCCUGUCGUUGAUGACGCCGACGGCUGGGAAAUUGUACGAGAUUCGGACGUCACCGGAAUGUGGCGUGAGGAGACGCAGAUUUUGUGGAAUCAACAUGUUUUCGAUGAUAUAAUUAUAGGCAGUGAAAAUAAUGUUUGAAAAAUAAGAUGUAGAA